rnacentral:rRNA from 3 species
AACGGAUAUCUUGGCUCUCGCAUCGAUGAAGAACGUAGCGAAAUGCGAUACUUGGUGUGAAUUGCAGAAUCCCGUGAACCAUCGAGUCUUUGAACGCAAGUUGCGCCCAAAGCCAUUAGGCCGAGGGCACGUCUGCCUGGGCGUCACACA